ensembl:lncRNA LINC01515 long intergenic non-protein coding RNA 1515
GUGUGGAACCUGGAAUUCAAACGGCUGGGUAGGAAGCACGCUAGCAGGGGCCUCUGGCCUUGCUGAGGGUCCCUGUUUCCCCUUUUCCUUCCUUUUCACCCAACAAAACCCUGCUUUACUCACCCUUCAAACCAUCUAUGAGCCUAAAUUGUCGUGGUCGUGGAAUGGACAAGGACCCAGUCUUUAGCUGAACUAAGGGAAAGUCCUGCUUUUUGGCGCGCAACAGGGGAGCUCAAGAAACAGGCCUCACUCACGGCAUAUGGAACUAACCACGCCCCUAACUAAGAAGGCACACCUUAGUUGCAGUUAGCACACAAUUAAAGCAACUCUCCAAGUUUUACCUUAAAGUUCAAAAUUGCUAGGAGUUGAAACUACUAGAAAUAUAUUUACAUGCAAGAGUCAAAGAAACUUUGAACUAUUUAUGGCCUUUAAUAAUUAAGUAAGGUAUACUCCUGUGAUCAAGACUUGGAGCAUAUUUGUUUCUCUCUGCCUGGUUCCUCUAGAAAUUGGAAACUAUCAGAACAGAGACCAACUCCGUUUCCCGAUCCCUUUGCAAUCUGCAUUGAACCAUGAGUCAAGUUCUUGAUAAAGGAGUGAAAAUGGUAAGUCUAAAGCAAUGAAAAGCUGCUGUAUUGACUACACAUGCCUUCAUUUCUUCUACCCUGCUUCUUUCAUGCCUGCUUAUCUGAAUGACACCAGGAUGACAUUUAAGGCACAUCUGAAGAUGGGGAAACCACAGCACAGAAUAAGGCUGGGCCCUUGAAUCAAUAAAUGAAGGAGAACUACUCAAGAGAACAAAACCACCAGCAAUAUCCACCUGUAUUUGUCUUUUCAUAAUGUGUGACACAUGUGCUCAUGGAUUAUUGUCCGAAGCAAGACAUGUGACCAAGCCUAACAUCAACUGGGUGAAGAGCUAUAUGUUCCUUUCUCAAGAGGCACUACAAGUGACAUGCCACUGGGCAGCACUGUUCACAUUAUGUAAGUGAUAAAAUUGACCUAAAUAUCCAUCAAUGGACAAAUAGAUCAAGAAAACAUGAUAAACAUACACAGUGGAAUACUAUACAGCUACAAAAAGAAUGACCUUCUGUCAUUUGUGACAACGUGGAUAAACCUGCAGGACAUUCUGUUAAGUGAAAUCAACCAGGGGGCAGGUCUUUCCUGUGCUGUUCUUGUGAAAGUGAGUAAGUCUCAUGAGAUCUGAAGGCUUUGAAAAACAGGAAUCUCCCUGUACAAGCUCUCUCUUUGCCUGCUGCCAUCCAUGUAAGACGUGACUUGCUCCUUCUUGUCUUCUGCCAUAAUUGUGAGUCUUCCCCAGCCAUGUGGAACUGUAAGUCCAGUUCAACCUCUUUCUUUUGUAAAUUGCCCAGUCUUGGAUAUGUCUUUAUCAGCAGUGUGAAAACAGAGUAAUACAGAAGUAAUUUCUAUGACAUUAUAUAAGAACUAAAGUUUUAUUUUUCCAAAAAUGUUGAAUGUUGAUGCUGUAUUCUGGUGAUGUUUGUUUUACCAGAAAAAUACAUCAUAUUCAGGAUAUGAACUAAACAAAAAUUAGUUGCUACUGCUCAACUGACUUAAAUAUGAGAUGUUGUCUAAUUAUCUCUGAUUGCUUCCUUUGGUUUCUAGUGAUUAAUUAUGCCUAAUUAUUCCUUGAUUUUUGGAAAAUCACAUUUAAGUUUCCUCUGCAAAGAAAAGAAUAGGUAAAUCAAGUCCUCUAGAAAAAAAGCAUAAAAAUAUAGUUUUGAAAUUCUAAAACUCAUAAAGGGAAAUAAAAAUCCCAUUCGUUUUUAUUUUAAUAUUUUGCUAGAAAGUACAAUGGAAGGAAAGAAGUCUUUUUUCUAAGACAGCAGUAUUUUAGUCAAUUGUGUAUCAACAGACUUCUGUAUAACUGGGAGCCACAUCUUGGAAAUGCUCUUUCCAAUGGCAGUGACAUCUGAGGAGAGUCCACUCUGAUAUGGACACUAUACUAGGAGGAGACAAGAGUACAGUAGGAAAAAAUUAGUCUGUGCGGUGAAGGAGUCCUACAUUGUCCCUCAGUAGAUUUCUAUAAAAUUUCACUUAAUUAGUAGCAAGUAACAGAGUUGGAAUGAGGACCUAGAUCUUUCAUUUUAAUCUAAUACUCUUUCUUCCACUAUUUUAGUUAGAGUCAUAUGGGCAAGCCCACAAUUAGUACAUGAGGACAUUUUUAAUGGGUAAGAUUACAGAGAACCAUUAAUUCUAGCCAUUAAAUUAAUCAAUUCAGCAAAGCUCUGAUUCCCCCUUCCCUUAAUUGUUAAAUAAGUAGUUCUCCAUUCAGUUGUUAAAGGAUUAUUUCUUGAUAACAAGGAAAUAAUAAACUUCUUAAGACACCCUGGUAUGAAUAGCUGAAAUUGAUUGAUAGUAAUCUCAGUAAAUCGUUUCAUUCUAAUUUUUGGUAUAUCUAUACUGCUUUGAAUAACUCUUCUACCUACAGCCCAUUAAUAAAUAUUUGCCUAGUCAAAUUUUAGUUUGUGCUAUACUCCUAGAAGGACAUGGGGUGUAUGGAAGCGAAACUAACUGGAUAUUUAAGGCAUU